CUCUUCCGACCCUUUACAAUUUUGAACACCUAAAAAUGUACAAGAUAGAUCAAACUGUUACAAAGAGAUUAUGAUAAAGUUAUUUAUUGUGCCUGGAAUGGACAUAUGCCAAAUGCAGAAUCCAGGUGUGUGGAGAACUUUAAUAAAUAGCAGUAUUGCCCAUUUCCA
rnacentral:lncRNA from 1 species